GACGAACGCUGGCGGCGUGCUUAACACAUGCAAGUCGAACGGAAAGGCCCUGCUUUUGUGGGGUGCUCGAGUGGCGAACGGGUGAGUAACACGUGAGUAACCUGCCCUUGACUUUGGGAUAACUUCAGGAAACUGGGGCUAAUACCGGAUAGGAGCUCCUGCUGCAUGGUGGGGGUUGGAAAGUUUCGGCGGUUGGGGAUGGACUCGCGGCUUAUCAGCUUGUUGGUGGGGUAGUGGCUUACCAAGGCUUUGACGGGUAGCCGGCCUGAGAGGGUGACCGGCCACAUUGGGACUGAGAUACGGCCCAGACUCCUACGGGAGGCAGCAGUGGGGAAUAUUGCACAAUGGGCGGAAGCCUGAUGCAGCAACGCCGCGUGCGGGAUGACGGCAUUCGGGUUGUAACCCGCUUUCGCCUGUGACGAAGCGUGAGUGACGGUAAUGGGUAAAGAAGCACCGGCUAACUACGUG
rnacentral:rRNA from 1 species